AUUGAACGCUGGCGGUAGGCUUAACACAUGCAAGUCGUGCGAGAAAGUAUCUUCGGAUAUGAGUAGAGCGGCGGACGGGUGAGUAACGCGUAGGAAUCUACCUAGUAGAAGGGGAUAGCCCGGGGAAACUCGGAUUAAUACCGUAUACCUCCUUCGGGAGAAAGAAGGCCUCUCUUUGAAGCUUUCGCUAUUAGAUGAGCCUGCGUAAGAUUAGCUUGUUGGUGAGGUAAAGGCUCACCAAGGCUACGAUCUUUAGCUGGUCUGAGAGGACGAUCAGCCACAUUGGGACUGAGACACGGCCCAGACUCCUACGGGAGGCAGCAGUGGGGAAUAUUGGACAAUGGGCGCAAGCCUGAUCCAGCCAUACCGCGUGUGUGAAGAAGGCCUUCGGGUUGUAAAGCACUUUAAGCAGGGAGAAAAAGUUAUAGGUUAAUACCCUAUGACCCUGAUGUUACCUGCAGAAUAAGCACCGGCUAAUUCCGUGCCAGCAGCCGCGGUAAUACGGAAGGUGCAAGCGUUAAUCGGAAUUACUGGGCGUAAAGCGCGCGUAGGUGGUUUGUUAAGUUGGAUGUGAAAGCCCUGGGCUCAACCUAGGAACUGCAUCCAAAACUAACUCACUAGAGUACGAUAGAGGGAGGUAGAAUUCAUAGUGUAGCGGUGGAAUGCGUAGAUAUUAUGAAGAAUACCAGUGGCGAAGGCGGCCUCCUGGAUCUGUACUGACACUGAGGUGCGAAAGCGUGGGUAGCGAACAGGAUUAGAUACCCUGGUAGUCCACGCUGUAAACGAUGACAACUAGCUGUUGGGAGACUAUGUCUUUCAGUGGCGCAGCUAACGCUUUAAGUUGUCCGCCUGGGGAGUACGGCCGCAAGGCUA
rnacentral:rRNA from 1 species